UGUAACGCUAUCGACCCUGUCGCUGUACAUCACGUCGACACCAUCCUAGUCGGCUCAUUUCAGAGCCCCGAGUGUAGUAGGAGUUGGCUUCUGCGCCAUUACUUCGCUUGCUCGGGCCAACACGUGCACACGCGCGCCUGCACGCACGCCUUACGAAAGAAGAAAGAGACAGAGAGAGAGAGAGAGAGAAAGAGAGAGAAAGAAAGAGAGAGAGAGAGAGAACAGACACGCACGGUUCCUCGUACACGUACUUACGCCCUCUGCCAAGGUACACGCGAGCAACGAAGGUCCGAUGAAAAGUCUACGAGAAUAAUCCCAGAGAGCAAGAGGAAACAACGAGGUAAAAACAAAAAGAAAAAACAAAAAAAGAAAAAGAAAAGAAAAAAACCAAAGAAAAGAAGAGGAAGAAAGUUAGAGGAAAGAACAAAAAAAAAAGGAAGAGAGAAAAAAAAAUAGAGAAAGAAAAAAAGAAUGAGACAUUCCAAUGAAUUAGAAACUCUCUUCUCUCGUCUCUGCGCACAGAUCUCUGCGCGUUCCUUCCCCAAUUGAAAUUGAAUCCGUUUGUCCUCACCUGUACGCGUGCCUCCGAGAGGGAGGUCUUCGAAGCCAACCGUUCGCGCGUCGAUACGCAAGGGUAGUGCGACCUCUCGAACUCCUUCUCGAGUUCCUCGAGCUGCUCCGGACUGAAGGUGGUGCGAUUUCGCCGGAACUUUGGCUGCUCGGAACCGUCCAAACUUCCGUCGUCACCGUCACCAUCUGAACGUGACAACAGAGAGAACAACGAUUGUAUUCGCCGCGAUGGCGUCGGCAGCGUGCAAUGCGUGAUCGGCAGUGCCAGCAGCGGAAGCCGAUGCGGCAGCGGCCGCUGCUGCGGCAGCACCAGGACUCAACGAUGGUGGUAAAAGCAAUGCCGAAGCCGCCCCUGAGAUACCAGUUGCCAAGGGUGGCAGCAUCCAGGGGUGUCCAGCAGCUCCUGGAGCAGGCCAUCCACUUGGAAGAUGAUGACUCGUCGUUGGAUGCUGAUGAGCGGCCGCGGCUGCUGCAGCUGCCGAAUUGAAAUACGGGUGCGGCCCGGCCGCAUACAAUCCGUAACCCGCUGCCCUCGCAAAUUCCGCGGCGGCCCUUUCCGCAGCUCUGUUUCUUAAUAUCCGAUUGAUACUGCUCACCGACGGUGCCGUCGCGUUACUGCACACACCUAAACAACAAAUAAAAUAAAAAAA